GCGCCCGUAGCUCAGUUGGUUAGAGUGCAUGCUUGACAUGCAUGAGGUCGCUGGUUCGAGUCCAGCCGGGCGCA
rnacentral:tRNA from 1 species